AGCGGGCUGCAGGGCUGCGGGCGCUUGGUUCGGCCUGGCCCGGCCGGCGGCUCCUAACACCGGGCGGGCGGCUGCGGCGGCACUUCCGGGUUGGCCUUCUCCAUGUUGGUCUCGGGAACGUGAAGGGGCGGGGCCUCGAGGUCAGGGGUCAGCACCUCCCUGGUUGCCGUGGCGACUGGAGGCGCGCGACGCGGGCGCAAUGGCGGGGACCCGGGGCUUGAUGCUGCUUGGGCCUGGCCCAGUGGCGGGUCCUAGGGACGUGGGUACCUGCAGAGGCCGGCAGAUGGAGAUUCAGAAACAUAAGGACAACAAGAAACUUCCCCAAGGUAUCAUUAUAGUCUUUAGACUUCAGACACACACCACACCUCAAAUAUAUACACAACUGAAAGGAAAAUUAAGGAAGUUUUUCAAAGAACCCUAUUCCGAGUAAGAAGUGUGUUGCAUGAAUUUCUAAGGUCAAAGAUGUUGAUUCAUUCAUAGUGUGAGGCCCAGAAAUCGGCAUUUUUAAACAAGUACACUGGACAUUUCUAAAGCUGGCUAAAGUUUGAGAGACACUAUCCAAGGGAAAUUUCUCCGUAACUCUUUUUCUCAGAAGAAAAGUAAACUAAAAGUAAAAAUAAGCAGUACCACUAAGUUUCAAGUGAUCUUCUCCUAAAAGAAGAAAAGGCCUAUAUUCAGGCACAAGAAAAGUAUAUUCUCUUUUAUCCAUGCAGAAAACAGCUAGUGGUUGAAAAUCAACACUUCAGACCUCUUGUCUACAUAAAGCCAACUGCCCCUUUGUUUUACUGAUGUCUUCAAUGAUUUUACUUAGAUUUUUCUACGGCAUUUACUGAAUUAGCUAAGCAGACACAGAUCCAGUCCUUCAUGAAUAUGGUUUGGAGACUCUCUACUGAAUCAGCACUCUUAGCUUCACCGACAUAGUCUCUUGGUAGACCAGAAGGUGUAUCUUAUCUGGAAAGACUGCUAUAUCUACACCCACAAAAAGCAUUAUUUAUCUGAACACUAAAUUCUGACUUCCUUGCCAUUUUAGGGAGCCACUUUAAAACAUUUUCAAUAUUUGCUAUUUUGUAGCAGCAAAUCCUUCAGAAGGAGGUCAAGUGAUGGCCUUUAUCUGUUCCCAGUGUCUUGCCCUUAGGUCCUCAGGGCACCCCCUGGACAGCAGCCUUAGGAACCAGGUACAAAGCACAAGCACUGCUGGUCCGCAUGGUAAGGAAUCACUUCCAGACUGGGCCUUCCCAUGGGCUUCCCUGAGCUUCCUGGACUCAAAUCAUAGUCCUUCUUUUCCUCUCCCCUUUGGACUUGAUAAACGCAGUCCCAUUCAUUUAAUCUCCAACUUAGAAAUCCGGAGAAUGUGAGCCCUGGGAUUUACUUUCAGACACCCUCGUCGAUAACCUUGGCCACUUAGGUUGCUGCAGCCUGUCCCCAGGGAGACAGUUAGAAUGGAACAAUGACACAAACAACACCAACAAUAACAACAGCAGCAGAAGCAGAAGCAACAAUAGUAGAACGAGAAAUAAUUUAUAACAUGCUUACUACAUGCCAGGCACUAAGUGCUUACCCAUAUUAACUCAGUUAAUUCUUAUAACAACCAGAUGAGAUAGAUUUUCUUAUUAUCCCGAUUUUACAAAUGAGCAAACAGAGGCACAAGCAGGUUAAGAAACCUCCCCAAGGUUAAACAGUGAGAAACAGCAAAGAUUUGAACAGUGAGAAACAGCAAAGAUUUGAAACAGCAAAGAUUUGAACCUAUUGUUCGGGAGUCCAUGCUGUUACUCAUUUCUUUAUGCUGCCAUAAUCUAAUAUAAAAUUGAAUAACAAUAAAUGCACCUUAUAUUUGUAUAGCUAUACACACUAAUUUACAUGAUCUUCAUAAGAACUAUGAAAUGGCUGUGAUUAUCCCCAUUUUUAAAAUGAUACUAUAAAGGCAUAAAAUGCUGUAUUUAUGGUAUGCAACCCUUUGGUGAACAACCCUAUAAAUAUUUAAUUACUUAUAUUGAUGUUCUUCCUACGUCUAAGAAAAAUGUUAUUUCCAUUCCCAAGAUGUUAGUAGAGACGAAGAUUUUUCAAUUUGUCUCCUUGAUUUUGUUGGAUUAUAGCAUUAAAGUUAUUUUUACAAAGCCAUCUACGGUAACCCAGUAGAAAGGGUAAGCCUGUUGGCUUAGGAAAACUGAAUGGCAUUCAGUUUCUUCAAAGAAAUUUGGGACAGAUGUGGGUUUUUUUUCUUCUUCUUCUUCAACAAAUCCAGAAGAUGAAAAAUGUAUUUUAUUUCUUGUGAAAUGCAUUUUUCUGUUCAUCUCAGUAUGUGGGACUGUUGAAGUUUAUAAGUUUGGCAGUGUUCUAACAUGGCCAUCCUGUUCUCCUUUAGCAACUUAUUAAAUGUAUUUUUUUUAAUGAAAACAAAAAAAAAAAA
rnacentral:lncRNA from 1 species